UUUAAUGGCCGCAGUAUUUUGACUGUGCUAAGGUAGCAUAAUCAUUAGUUUCUUAAUUAGAAGCUAGAAUGAAGGGUUGGAUGAAAAAAUAAUUGUCUCUAAAUAAUUUUAUUAAAAUUUUAUUUUUAAGUUAAAAAGCUUAAAUAGAUUUGAAAGACGAGAAGACCCUAUAGAGUUUUAUAAAAUCAAAUAUUUAAAUUUAAGAAAUUAAAAGUUUAUUAAAUUAAAUUUUAUUUAGUUGGGGUGAUUAAAAAAUUUAAAUAACUUUUUUUUUUUAUAUUUAUAUUUAUAUAUAGAUAUUUGAUCCAAUAAUUUUGAUUAUAAGAGAAAAUUACCUUAGGGAUAACAGCGUAAUUUUAUUAAAGAGUU
rnacentral:rRNA from 1 species